rnacentral:rRNA from 1 species
GGGGGGGGGGACCGCCGAACAGUUCGUGAGGUUUUGGCCCUCUCAAAAGCUAAUAACCCCAAGCUAGUCUUUCUCUGUGAGACUAGACAAGAUGCAUCUAAAGUGGAGUAGUUGAAGUGGAGGUUGGGUCUGAAGGGCUUCCACGGUGUUAGUAGUGAUGGACGAAGCUGCGGUCUUGCUUUGUUCUGG